AUCGCUUCUCGGCCUUUUGGCUAAGAUCAAGUGUAGAAACACACCUGAUGGCCUGAGCAGAACAAAAGAACAGCCAGUAAAGCUUAACUCAAGUCAUUAUGAGUCAUUCUUGGGAUUUUUAAAGGUUUUUUUCUUUCUUAAAAGAGGUUUCUGUCUCUACUGUCUUAAGGUACCAUUA
ensembl:snRNA U2 U2 spliceosomal RNA